rfam:Rhizoctonia solani AG-1 IB, isolate 7/3/14, WGS project CAOJ01000000 data, contig: 10771
AGCGGCAGAGGUGAACACAUAACGCAUUCAACCCUCGCCUUUUACUAGAGUUGACCGUGGGUCUGCCUCAUUCAAUGCCGCCUAGCAAUUUUUCGGAAAUUAGUCCUUCUCGGACAUAU